GGUAAUGUGUGGAGCGCUACUUGAUUCAAUUAUACAACACAAUGCUGCAGGAGGAAGACAGUAAUCUAAUCUGAUCUGUGAGCUGCGGCUGUGUGUUGUCUGAGCAGACUCCUCCAGAUCGACAGAGGAAGACGAGGUGAAGCCUUGGAGAUCAUUGUGUUCCCGUGUGAAGCUCGACAUUAGUCAAAGCCAUUAACUCAUCAUGGUUAACGACAUGGAGCUCAGGACGACUGACGGCGGCCGGGACCGGGCCCAGUUCUGGGAGGCGUUCCCCCCGGUGCAAAGAUUCAACUGGUCCGUCCUGCAGGAUGUGAAGCCCGUCGUCAGGCUGCCCAACAACAACUACGGCACACUGGCGACCAGCAGCGAUUAUCGAAGGAUCCACACGACGCUCCUGCAUGUGAUGGCCAGCAGCAGCUUCCUGGAGCAGAAGCUAGAGCGCUGCCUGAGGACCCAGAAGGCUUUCAUUGUCCUGGUGAUGGUCUUUGGGCUCCUGCUUCAACAAAAGAAACUAAGAAUCAAAGACCUCAGAAGGACUGAAGUGAAAACUAUUGGAAGUGGAUCAGAUGUCACUACAAUAUGCAGCAAUACUACACGGAUCACCAUCACACUUCUAGUGUGUCGGAUCAGAACAGAGAGGAGUGGAGACGAGUGUCGUCUGCUGUAUGAACAUGGAGGGGGCUUUGAGAGCGAGUGUGACUCCAGGUUCUCACUCAUGAUGGAGAAUCAGACUGUUUUUCUUCACCUGACCAGUUUAACACCAGUGGAUAGUGGGAACUACACCUGUGAAUGCACACACUCAGGGAACCACUACUCUCCGUCUGAAUAUCACUGUAGAAGAGGAUGA
rnacentral:lncRNA from 1 species